AACGAACGCUGGCGGCAUGCCUAACACAUGCAAGUCGAACGGGACCUCCGUGUCUGGUUGCGCUCGUGUGCGUCACGCGUGGGAACCUGCCCUUAGGUUCCGGAUUCUUCCCUUUAGUGGGUGCUAAUACAGGUUAAUGUAUUCUGACAAAAGAUUUCUCGCCUUUGGAUGGGCCCGCGAUGGAUUAGCCUGUUGGUAGUGUAAAAGCCUAUCAAGGCUACGAUACAUAGCUGGUAUGAGAGGAUGAGCAGCCACACUGGGACUGAGACACGGGCCAGAAUACUACGGGAGGCAGGAGAGGGGAAUACAGGACAAUGGGCGAAAGGCUGAUCAAGCAAUGCCGGGUGAGUGAUGAAGGCGGUAGGGUAGUAAAGCUGUUUUAUACGGGAUGAUAAUGACAGUACCGGGAGAAUAAGCACCGGCUAACUCCGUG
rnacentral:rRNA from 1 species